rnacentral:tRNA from 1 species
CCGGGGGUAGCUUAACGAUAAAGCGAGAGGCAAGGGGCCUCUGGAUGCGGCGUUCAACUCCCGUCCCUCGGACCA